rnacentral:rRNA from 1 species
CUGACUGUGCAAAGGUAGCAUAAUCAGUUGGCUUAUAAUUGAAGUCUAGUAUGAAUGGGAACACGGGAAUAUUCUGUCUUUAAUAUAUAAAAGAAAUUACUAAUUAAGUGAAAAUUCUUAAAAGUAAGAAAAUAGACGAGAAGACCCUAGAAAUUUUUUAUUUUGAUUUUGUUGGGGCGACAGGGUAACAAAAAAACUUACCUAAAGUAAUAGGAAAUUUUUAAGUGGUGUAAAUAAAUUACUCUAGGGAUAACAGCAUAAUAUUUUAAAGGUUGUGACCUCGAUGUUGGACUAGGAAAUACACUACUUAAAAGGUAGUGUUUAUGGUUCUGUUCGAACUUUUACUCCUACAU